rnacentral:rRNA from 1 species
AACGUAGGACACAAGCGUUAUCCGGAGUUACUGGGCGUAAAGGGCGUGUAGGCGGCCAGGUAGGUCGGUUGUGAAAACUGGAGGCUCAACCUUCAGAGGUCGACCGAAACCAUCUGGCUAGAGUCCGGGAGAGGAGAGUGGAAUUCCUGGUGUAGCGGUGAAAUGCGCAGAUAUCAGGAAGAACACCCGUGGCGAAAGCGGCUCUCUGGAACGGUACUGACGCUGAGACGCGAAAGCGUGGGGAGCGAACAGG